rnacentral:rRNA from 1 species
GACGAACGCUGGCGGCGUGCUUAAAACAUGCAAGUCGAACGGACUUCUCAUGAAGCUUGCGAUUGAGAAGUUAGUGGCGGACGGGUGAGUAACGCGUGGGCAACCUGCCCCUGAGCCCGGGAUAACAGUUCGAAAGGACUGCUAAGACCGGAUAUACUUGCGGUGAAGCAUCUCACUGCAAGGAAAGGGAACGCUCAGGGAUGGGCCCGCGUCCCAUUAGCUAGUUGGUGAGGUAACGGCCCACCAAGGCGACGAUGGGUAGCCGGCCUGAGAGGGUGAACGGCCACACUGGGACUGAGACACGGCCCAGACUCCUACGGGAGCAGCAGUUGGGAAUCUUCGGCAAUGGGCCAAGCCUGACCGAGCAACGCCGCGUGAGUGAUGAAGGUUUUCGGAUUGUAAGCUCUGUCUUCCGGGACGAUAAUGACGGUACCGGAGGAGGAAGCCACGGCUAACUACGUCGCCAGCACGCCGACGGUAAAGUGUGUGUA